GUUUUUUUGCAAGUAUUCAGACUCUCUGAAUGACAGUUUACCUUUCUAGGAUUAGCAUGUCCUUUACUGCAACUCUGUGUUUUGCUGAUACAUCUUUUGCUGAUAUGCUUUUGUUUCCUGAGGGCACCCUAUUAAUGAUCAAAAGACCUAUGCCAUUGCUUGCCUUCAAAUUGCUGCUGGUUUGUGGUAAGAUGUGGACACCCACAAAGAGUCUGAUGCUCCUACUUGACAUGUGGUGCUGGACUGUUUGCUCUGUGUGAGCACAUCGUGUUAGAUUUCUUCAUCUCAGAAAGAGGCCUCUUGUCUCCACAUUGCAGUUCUUGCCUACAACUUUCAUCAGUUCAGCUCCCACAAAGUGUGUGAUAACUUGCUAUGAGUCCUCUUGUCUAGCUCUUGUCUCUAAAAGGGAACAAUCUUUGUUCGUAAGUCUGAACAUUCAGACUGUCCAGCUCCCAAGGAACUGAGGUUAAAGAACACCAGCUAUGGUAAGACACCUCAAAGCUAUUCACAGAGAGAGAAUAGAUCUCUUGCAGUACAAAAAUGUCAGUCAGCUCAUGGCCCCUAAAGCUUUCUUGCCCUGUUGUCUUAUGUCUCAAAGUAAUUGUUGCUAGAAGACUACUGGAUGCUGUAACAUACAUUUGAAGUGGAUGACUAAUGGGUUGUGCUAUUCAUUCUUUAAAUCAUUGCAGUGGAUUAUCUCCUGAGUGUUCCAGUUACAUUUGAAAAGGAAAAAAUGAAGCUGAUCUUGGUGACCAGACAGUGCAUUUUUCAUAUUGUUUGACUUCUCUUAGCGUAUAGAAGCUCUGCUAAUGUGUAACACACAUUUGUGGCCCAGAAUCAGCAGAGUUAUUUUUGCACAUAUAUGUGAACGUUUACUUUUCUUCUAUUGAGUACUUCUUGCAAAAGGUUGCUUUCAAGGACUGGGGAAACUCUGAAGUUCUUUACUAUGAAAGUGGUGAGGUGCUGGCACAGGCUGCCCGGAGAGGUUGUGAAUGCCCCAUCCCUGGAGGUGUUCAAGGCUGGGUUGGAUGGGGCCCUGGGCAGCCUGGUCUAGUAUUAAAUGUGGAGGUUGGUGGCCCUGCCUGUGGCAGGGGGGUUGGACAUUCAUGAUCCCUUCCAACCUGGGCCAUUCUGUGAUUCUGUAAAACAUAGAAGCUAGAGAGAUAUCCUUAACCACUGGAGGAUACUGGGAAGGGAUCCCAUCACCCUGAAAUUGACAGACCACUGAAUGCUUAGAGAUGCCUCAUUUCCUACACUCUUG
ensembl:lncRNA